AGCAGUAGCCGCGGGAAUACGUAGGUCCCGGGCGUUGUCCGGAUUUAUUGGGCGUAAAGGGAGCGCAGGCGGUUUAGUAAGUCUGAAGUUAAAGGCAUUGGCUCAACCAAUGUAUGCUUUGGAAACUGUUAGACCUGAGUGCAGAAGGGGAGAGUGGAAUUCCAUGUGUAGCGGUGAAAUGCGUAGAUAUAUGGAGGAACACCGGUGGCGAAAGCGGCUCUCUGGUCUGUCACUGACGCUGAGGCUCGAAAGCGUGGGUAGCGAACAGGAUUAGAUACCCGCGUAGUCCCUGUCUCUUAUACA
rnacentral:rRNA from 1 species